rnacentral:rRNA from 1 species
CGCGGCCUAUCAGCUUGUUGGCGAGGUAAAGGCUCACCAAGGCAUUGACGGGUAGCUGGUCUGAGAGGACGAUCAGCCACACUGGGACUGAGACACGGCCCAGACUCCUGCGGGAGGCAGCAGUGGGGAAUAUUGCGCAAUGGGCGAAAGCCUGACGCAGCAACGCCGCGUGGGGGAUGAAGGCUUUCGGGUUGUAAACCCCUUUCAGUGAUGACGAAAAUGACGGUAAUCACAGAAGAAGCCCCGGCCAACUACGUGCCAGCAGCCGCGGUAACACGUAGGGGGCAAGCGUUGUCCGGAUUUAUUGGGCGUAAAGAGCUCGUAGGCGGUUGCGUAAGUCGGAUGUGAAAACUCAGGGCUCAACCCUGAAAUGCCAUUCGAUACUGCGCUGACUAGAGUCCGGUAGAGGAGCAUGGAAUUCCUGGUGUAGCGGUGAAAUGCGCAGAUAUCAGGAGGAACACCAGUAGCGAAGGCGGUGCUCUGGGCCGGUACUGACGCUGAGGAGCGAAAGCAUGGGUAGCAAACAGGAUUAGAUACCCCGGUAGUCCAUGCCGUAAACGUUGGGCACUAGGUGUGGGACCUACUUAACGGGUUCCGUGCCGUAGCUAACGCAUUAAGUGCCCCGCCUGGGGAGUACGG